AACGUAGGAGACGAACGUUAUCCGGAAUUACUGGGCGUAAAGGGCGUGCAGGCGGCUUGAUAAGUUCGGCGUGAAAUUUCCCGGCUUAACCGGGGGAUGUCGUCGGAGACUGUCGAGCUAGAGGGUGAUAGGGGCGUGUGGAAUUCCGGGUGUAGUGGUGAAAUGCGUAGAGAUCCGGAGGAACACCAGUGGCGAAGGCGACACGCUGGGUCAUACCUGACGCUAAAACGCGACAGCAUGGGGAGCGAACGGG
rnacentral:rRNA from 1 species